CUAAUAAUGGUGGUGGGUUCUCUGUCCCUCGUUAUUGUGCUGAGACUAUAUUUCCAAGGUUGGAUUAUAGUGCUGAGCCUCCUGUGCAGACCAUUCUUGCCAAGGAUGUGCAUGGUGAGACUUGGAAGUUUAGGCAUAUCUAUAGAGGAACUCCCAGACGCCAUUUGUUGACUACUGGUUGGAGUAAUUUUGUGAACCAGAAGAAACUUGUAGCGGGGGAUUCUAUUGUGUUUUUGAGGGCAGAAAAUGGGGAUCUUUGUGUGGGGAUUAGGCGUGCCAAGAGAGAGAUUGGUGGUGGAAAUGAGUAUCCAUCUGGGUGGAAUUCGUUUGGGGGUUAUUCUGGGUUUUUGAGGGGAGAUGAGAAUAAAUUGAUGAAAAGGAAUGGUAAUGGCGAUAUGAAGGGGAAAGUGAUGGCUGAGUCUGUUAUUCAGGCUGCAACUCUUGCAGCCAAUUGGCAGCCCUUUGAGGUUGUUUACUAUCCAAGAGCAAGCGCCCCAGAAUUUUGUGUUAGGGCCUCAGCUGUGAGGACUGCAAUGCAGAUUCAGUGGUGUCCAGGGAUGAGAUUCAAAAUGGCAUUUGAGACAGAGGAUUCAUCUAGGAUUAGCUGGUUCAUGGGAACUAUAUCCUCUGUUCAGGUUGCUGAUCCCAUCCGCUGGCCUAAUUCUCCAUGGAGACUUCUACAGGUAUCAUGGGAUGAGCCAGAUUUACUCCAAAAUGUAAAGCGUGUUAGCCCUUGGCUGGUUGAAUUGGUAUCGAACAUGCCCGCCAUUCAUCUCUCACCCUUCUCACCUCCAAGAAAAAAGUUGAGAUUUCCACAACCCCCAGAUUUUUCCUUAAUCAGCCAAUUUCCAGUGCCAUCAUUUACCGGCAACCCUCUCAGUUCGAACAGUCCCUUAUGCUGUGUCUCAGAUAACAUUCCUGCAGGCAUACAGGGAGCCAGGCAUGCUCAAUUUGAACUAUCUACAGCAGAUCACUUCAACAAACUGCGGUCGGGUCUGUUUCCAUUUGGUUUCCAGCAGCUCGAUCAAGCUGCACCAACUUCUAGAAUCCCCAGUCACAACUUCAUGGGCAUUAAUGAAAACAAUGAGAAAAUAUCUUGCUUGUUAACAGUUGGAAAUCCCACACUGAGCUCGAAGGAAAACAGUGAAACUAAGGCACAACAUAUUGUAUUGUUUGGUCAGCUCAUUCUCACAGACCAGCGGAGUUCUCAAAGCUUUUCUGGUGAUACAAAUGGAAAUAGUUCAUCGGAUGGAAAUCCAGAGAAGACAGCAAAUCUUUCUGAUGGUUCUGUUUCUGUAUUUCAGCAGAAUGGUCUGCAGGAAAAUUCUUCAGAUGACGGGUCUCCCUGGUACAAAGAUCACCAGAAAACUAAUCUUGGCUUGGAGACUGGUCAUUGCAAGGUGUUUUUGGAAUCAGAAGAUGUGGGUCGAACUCUUGACCUCUCAGUCAUUGGCUCAUAUGAAGAACUGUAUGGAAAGUUGGCAAACAUGUUUGGCAUCGAGAAUUCAGAUAUGCCAAGCUGUGUGCUUUACCGAGACAUGGCUGGUGCCACAAAACACACAGGAGAUGAGCCCUUUAGUGAGUUUUUGAAGACAGCAAGGAGGUUAACCAUUCUUACAGAUUCAGGCAGCGACAACAUAGGAAGAUAAAGAACUGAGGAACUUCUAUUAAAAUGUACAGUUUGUGAACCCUUUCUUUUACUUGUAACUUUCAACUUAUUUUGUUACUUGGGAGCUGUGGGAGAAGCCUACUUCAUCCAAUUUUGGAAUAUUGUAGUUCACUUCCUUUUGUUGAACAGCUUAACUUGCUUUCUCAUGAAAUGAGUUUUAAUAUUUAUAUCAAUUGGUGAAGCCUGAUCUC
rnacentral:misc_RNA from 1 species